rnacentral:rRNA from 1 species
CACCAGACUCCUACGGGAGGCAGCAGUGGGGAAUAUUGCACAAUGGGGGGAACCCUGAUGCAGCGACGCCGCGUGGGUGAAGGAGCACCUCGGUGCGUAAAGCCCUAUCGGCAGGGAAGAAAAGCGAACAGGUUCGCCUGGACGGUACCUGACUAAGAAGCCCCGGCUAACUACGUGCCAGCAGCCGCGGUAAUACGUAGGGGGCAAGCGUUAUCCGGAUUCACUGGGUGUAAAGGGAGCGUAGACGGCGGCGCAAGUCUGGAGUGAAAGCCCGGGGCCCAACCGCGGAACUGCAUUUGAAACUGUCAGUCUUGAGUACCGGAGAGGUCAUCGGAAUUCCUUGUGUAGCGGUGAAAUGCGUAGAUAUAAGGAAGAACACCAGUGGCGAAGGCGGAUGACUGGACGGCAACUGACGGUGAGGCGCGAAAGCGUGGGGAGCAAACAGGAUUAGAUACCCCGGUA